CACAUUUGUUUUAAUCCUAGGAAUUAGCAAAGAUAAAGCAGGAAACAAGAGAAAAAGAAAAUUUGGUUAAGGAAAAGAUCAAGUUUUUGGAAAGUGAGAUUGGGAAUAACACGGAGUAUGAGAAAAGAAUUUCUGUGGCUGAUCGUAAUCUCUUAAAAUACAGAACGGCGUAUCAGUACCAUGAAGCUGGUAGAAUCCAGCUGAAGGAUGAGCUGGAUUGUUUAAAAGCCACUGUGAAUAGAACUUCCAGUGAUUUAGAAGCUCUGAGGAAAAAUAUUUCCAAGAUAAAGAAGGAUGUUCAUGAAGAAACAGCAAGGUUACAAAAAACUAAAAAUCAUAAUGAGACAAUAAAAA